GAUGAACGCUAGCUACAGGCUUAACACAUGCAAGUCGAGGGGCAGCGGGAUUGAAGCUUGCUUCAAUCGCCGGCGACCGGCGCACGGGUGAGUAACGCGUAUCCAACCUUCCGUUUACUCAGGGAUAGCCUUUCGAAAGAAAGAUUAAUACCUGAUGGUAUCUUAAUGACACAUGUAAUUAAGAUUAAAGAUUUAUCGGUAAACGAUGGGGAUGCGUUCCAUUAGGUAGUAGGCGGGGUAACGGCCCACCUAGCCAACGAUGGAUAGGGGUUCUGAGAGGAAGGUCCCCCACAUUGGAACUGAGACACGGUCCAAACUCCUACGGGAGGCAGCAGUGAGGAAUAUUGGUCAAUGGGCGAGAGCCUGAACCAGGCCCAAGUAGCGUGAAGGAUGAAGGUUCUAUGGAUUGUAAACUUCUUUUAUAAGGGAAUAACAGACGUUACGUGUAGCGUUUUGCAUGUACCUUAUGAAUAAGCAUCGGCUAACUCCGUG
rnacentral:rRNA from 1 species